rnacentral:rRNA from 1 species
AUGCAUAAAUUGCCCGUAGAGCCCAUCGUCCAUGGUUCACGCUGGCCAGAGGAAGGGCCAUUGCGGGUGGAAGGACCUCCUUACUGGCUGCAAAUCUCUGAGACUGGAGUAUAUUGAAAACCUGCCCCUGGGGAUUUUCAAGCAGACUACAAGCACUAGAAGCGGGUGAUAUGCAAUUCAUAUAUGGAAGGCCUGGGUAUUGAUUGGUCUGCUGUCAGAUAUGUCAUGUACAUGAAAGCUAUUUGCGGAGGGUUUGCAGCAGCUUUGGGGGACAUGAAGGUGUGGGUCAUGAAUGUAGUUCCAAUCGACUCACCUCACACGCUAGCAAUCAUAUACGAGGGCGAGCUGUUUGGACUCUACCAUGACUGGUGCUAG